CGCUGGCGGCAUGCCUAACACAUGCAAGUCGAGCGAGUGGAGUUCUUCGGAACAAAGCUAGCGGCGGACGGGUGAGUAACACGUGGGCAACCUGCCUCAUAGAGGGGAAUAGCCUUCCGAAAGGGAGAUUAAUACCGCAUAAGAUUGUAGCUUCGCAUGAAGUAGCAAUUAAAGGAGCAAUCCGCUAUGAGAUGGGCCCGCGGCGCAUUAGCUAGUUGGUGAGGUAACGGCUCACCAAGGCGACGAUGCGUAGCCGACCUGAGAGGGUGAUCGGCCACAUUGGGACUGAGACACGGCCCAAACUCCUACGGGAGGCAGCAGUGGGGAAUCUUCCGCAAUGGGCGCAAGCCUGACGGAGCAACGCCGCGUGAGUGAAGAAGGUUUUCGGAUCGUAAAGCUCUGUUGAGAGGGACGAGAGAUAUAAUCAGGAAAUGGGUUAUAGAGGACGGUACCUUUCGAGGAAGCCACGGCUAACUACGUG
rnacentral:rRNA from 1 species